rnacentral:rRNA from 1 species
UGGGGAAUAUUGGGCAAUGGGCGAAAGCCUGACCCAGCAACGCCGCGUGAAGGAAGAAGGUCUUCGGAUUGUAAACUUCUUUUAUGAGGGACGAAGGACGCGACGGUACCUCAUGAAUAAGCCACGGCUAACUACGUGCCAGCAGCCGCGGUAAUACGUAGGUGGCAAGCGUUAUCCGGAUUUACUGGGUGUAAAGGGCGCGUAGGCGCGGAUGCAAGUCAGAUGUGAAAUCUAUGGGCUUAACCCAUAAACUGCAUUUGAAACUGUGUCUCUUGAGUGCUGGAGAGGUAGACGGAAUUCCUUGUGUAGCGGUGAAAUGCGUAGAUAUAAGGAAGAACACCAGUGGCGAAGGCGGUCUACUGGACAGUAACUGACGCUGAGGCGCGAAAGCGUGGGGAGCAAACAGGAUUAGAUACC